rnacentral:lncRNA from 1 species
AUGAGGAAAAUUAACAAAUUAAACAAAAAAAUUUCUACAAAUUUAAAGAGUUUAGGGAGAAAUGGGAGAGUUUUAGUGAGAAAUUGGAGAGUUUUAGUGAGAGAGAAAAAUUUUUGAAAAAAAUGAGAGAGUCUUAGAAACUUGUGCAACCAUUUUAGAGAGAGAGCGUGUGUAAAUUUUAUUUAUAUAAAGAGAAAAAAUUAAAACUAGGUUAAAGUUUACGACACCGUAGAACCGUAAACUUCUUUUAAAAUCUAAUAGAAUUUGUUAUAAGUCUACUUAGUAGACUUUUUCGAAUUAUUUUAUGAUAAUUUCAUAGUUGUUGUAUAUUCUUUAUUGUUUUAGUGAUUUUAAUAAAUGAUCUCACGCUUUUUGAAUAUGAGUUUGAAGAUUAACAUUUUAAUUUAUUCAUAGAAAAAACUAAAAUUAAUCAAAAUUAUUUUGAUUUUUGUAAUAUCAAAUUUUAGU